UUAGUAACCACUGGGGAGACACCAUGAUAAAGAUGGUGGUAUUCCCACUGUGAGUUGCAUUCCUUACACACAGGUGUGCUGACCCCAGUGAUUUUCCCAAAGAUGGGAAACAACUGUGUAAUUUAUGGUCACAGAGGAUUCUCUGAUUGAUGGAGAGAUCUUUA
ensembl:snRNA U1 U1 spliceosomal RNA